GACGAACGCUGGCGGCGUGCUUAACACAUGCAAGUCGAGCGAGGCCCCUCCUUCGGGAGGGUGUCCUAGCGGCGAACGGGUGAGUAACACGUGGGCAACCUGCCCCCGGCUCUGGGAUAACUCCAAGAAAUUGGGGCUAAUACCGGAUAUGACCGCUGACCGCAUGGUCUGGUGGUGGAAAGAUUUAUCGGCUGGGGAUGGGCCCGCGGCCUAUCAGCUUGGUGGUGGGGUAGUGGCCUACCAAGGCGACGACGGGUAGCCGGCCUGAGAGGGUGACCGGCCACACUGGGACUGAGACACGGCCCAGACUCCUACGGGAGGCAGCAGUGGGGAAUAUUGCGCAAUGGGCGGAAGCCUGACGCAGCGACGCCGCGUGGGGGAUGACGGCCUUCGGGUUGUAAACCUCUUUCAGCAGGGACGAAGCGAAAGUGACGGUACCUGCAGAAGAAGCACCGGCCAACUACGUGCCAGCAGCCGCAGUAA
rnacentral:rRNA from 1 species